rnacentral:rRNA from 1 species
UACGGGGGGGGCAAGCGUUGUUCGGAAUUACUGGGCGUAAAGGGCUCGUAGGUGGCCAACUAAGUCAGACGUGAAAUCCCUCGGCUUAACCGGGGAACUGCGUCUGAUACUGGAUGGCUUGAGUGUGGGAGAGGGAUGCGGAAUUCCAGGUGUAGCGGUGAAAUGCGUAGAUAUCUGGAGGAACACCGGCGGCGAAGGCGGCAUCCUGGACCACGACUGACGCUGAGUGAGCGAAAGCCAGGGGAGCAAACGGG